rnacentral:rRNA from 1 species
AUUAAACGCUGGCGGCAUGCCUUACACAUGCAAGUCGAACGGCAGCGCGGGGCAACCUGGCGGCGAGUGGCGAACGGGUGAGUAACGCAUCGGAACGUGCCCUGGAAUGGGGGAUAACGUAGCGAAAGUUACGCUAAUACCGCAUAUUCUGUGAGCAGGAAAGCAGGGGAUCGCAAGACCUUGCGUUCUGGGAGCGGCCGAUGUCGGAUUAGCUAGUUGGUGGGGUAAAGGCCUACCAAGGCGACGAUCCGUAGCGGGUCUGAGAGGAUGAUCCGCCACACUGGGACUGAGACACGGCCCAGACUCCUACGGGAGGCAG